rnacentral:lncRNA from 1 species
CUGUGGUAGGGUAGGCAGGACUGCUAGACAGUCUCUUAAUUCAUAUAAACCCUGAAGUUUAGAGAACUGAUACCAUGCAAAAAUGAGCUUAUUGUAUUUGAGAUUAUAAGAAAAACUAAUAGAACAGGCAGUUGAUUUUGCAGAAUAAAUGAUGAAUGCUAAAGUGUAGAAAAAUGUAUAGAAGGCAAGGUUGAAACUCAAGGCAGAAGACAUAGAUGUGAGUUCAACUCCAGAGGUGAUUUGAAGCUGUGCAAAUCAAAAAGGUCGUAAGAGGAAGAGCAAACCUAGAAAAAGAACAGGGCGACUACUGAAUCCCAGGUACGGUCAACAUUUAGGUGGCAAAAAGAAGAGAAGAUGCAAAUGGAUACUGAGGCAAGAGACUGAACAGAGUAAGCCUCACAGAGACCAACACUAAGCUACAUUACCAUGUUAAAUUGAUGAUGAAGCAAUGAAGAAAUGAAUGCCUGAAUGAUGUCCUGGAGAGAAGUUUAUGCAUUCCAGGGUGUCAAAAAUAAUGCCAUCAGGAUAAACAUUUUAAAAGAAGUAUUUGGCAGUAUCUGAAGUUAGAAUAUGAAACAGUAUCUAAGAGAGAUGUGUGAAACUCACUUCCUGUUCUCGGUUAGAAGCACCUGCACACCUUAGUCAACCCAGUUA